rnacentral:rRNA from 1 species
CUUGGUCAUUUAGAGGAAGUAAAAGUUGUAACAAGGUUUCCGUAGGUGAACCUGCGGAAGGAUCAUUAACAAAUCCAAUAAUUGCGGGAGAACGUGUUUGUUCUUUUUGCAAAUAUUAAUCCGCUGGCUGCUCUUAGUAGCAGCUGGCUGUGAUAUAAAUGCGUGAUAUGUUGACAGUGUGUGUAUAAUUAAACAUGCUUGGUGUCUUCGCUUCGGCAAGGCCCUUGCUUAAAUCACAUCCUAACACCUGUGAACUGUAAGACGUAUGAUGAGGUCUUUGGCCAAGUCAUCGUCUGCCCUUUUUUAACAAACAAUUAAUGUAACAAACGUAGUCUUAUUAUAACCUAAUAAAACUUUCAACAACGGAUCUCUUGGCUCUCGCAUCGAUGAAGAACGCAGCGAAAUGCGAUAAGUAAUGUGAAUUGCAGAAUUCAGUGAAUCAUCGAAUCUUUGAACGCACCUUGCGCUCUUUGGUAUUCCGAAGAGCAUGCCUGUUUGAGUGUCAUGAAAAUAUCAACCUUGACUUGGGUUUUGUGCUCUAGUCUUGGCUUGGAAUUGGGUGCUUGCCGCUUUUACGAGCGGCUCACCCUAAAUGUAUUAGCUGGAUCUGUCUUUGAGACUUGGUUUGACUUGGCGUAAUAAGUAUUUCGCUAAGGACAUUCUUCGGAGUGGCCUCGUUUCUAGGACGCUUGUCCGCUUCCCAAUACAAGUUCCACCUCGUGGACAUGACUUUUUUAUUAUCUGGCCUCAAAUCAGGUAGGACUACCCGCUGAACUUAAGCAUAUCAAUAAGCGGAGGA